rnacentral:rRNA from 1 species
CGUAGGUGCGAGCGUUGUCCGGAAUUAUUGGGCGUAAGGGCUCGUAGGCGGUCUGUCGCGUCGGGAGUGAAACUCAGGGCUUAACCCUGAGCCUGCUUCCGAUACGGGCAGACUAGAGGUAUGCAGGGGAGAACGGAAUUCCUGGUGUAGCGGUGAAAUGCGCAGAUAUCAGGAGGAACACCGGUGGCGAAGGCGGUUCUCUGGGCAUUACCUGACGCUGAGGAGCGAAAGUGUGGGAGCGAACAGGAUU